CUUUUAUAGGCGGGGAGUUUGAAUAUUUUUUAUGUCGUCCAGCCUCAUUUCCGAGUAUCUCCGAAUUUUGCCGAUUCUCGACUUUUUUUGUUCCUUUAAGCGAAAAUAAAAAAAAUCUCUGCUGUCUCGCCCGUCUCGCCUUGGAUCAGCUACGGCUCUUGGAAAAGAAGAAGCUCGCUGUCAUGGCCUAACAAGACCCAGACAGAAACAAACUUGAAACAGUACGACUAAAAAUGUCAGAUAUUUGCUUUAAAAGGCACAACCGAUGUUAUUUUUGUUGUCAUUUUUGAUAUACGUCAAAUUUUUAUCUCAUUUUCGCCAUUUUUGUGCAGUUCGCGAGACUAUGCAGGAAGCCUCGGACUCGAGUAGAUGUGGAGGCUGUGACAGGACGCACGGUCUCGGGUUAGGUACUAUAGGAAAGACCGGAAGAAGCCCGAUGAUGUAAAAUGUGCGGAAGAGACCAUGAAGUACGAUGGGUGCAUGACCCAGGAGGGACAAGAUCUACCAGUCUGUGACACCCACUCUGUCUCAUUCCUUGCUUGCAGUAGCCUUCGAACAGUCAAUCUUCAGUCGGCUAGUGGCUUCUUCUGUUUUGUGCUGCACCAGAGGGUAUGUGGAAGCUACUGACCAUCUACUGUAGAAAUUUGGUGACUUGAGUUUUGAUUUUGAGGGACAAUUUUGGUGCCAGUAUGCGGCUCAGCUGCCUUGUUGUUGAUGAGACGCAAGAUGUUUAGCUAGAGCUCAAGUGGAGCUUUAUGUUUUGUUUACCCUCACUGUUUUGUUAGUUUAAACACUUUUUUUUUGUACCUUACAGCUGUGUACGCCUUUGAUCUGUCUAUUGGAAGAAACCUGCUGCUGUAAAGCAUCACUUCUGGUGUCAUUCACCAUUUUUAUAUUUUUAUCCAGGUGUUCAUUAGUUGUCAUCUACCCUUAACCUAUAGGUAAUUUAAUUUCUUAGCGAUGCCUGCCUAUCGGCAUCACUUCUGACUGUACAUUAUUUCAUUUUCAUUUUAUUUCUUGAUGGCCAGCUUUUUGUGAGUUUCACUUGUUGAAUCAUACUCCAAAAGUGCCCAGCCAGAGUCCUGGAGAACCCUAGUUUAGCAGGCUUCAUAUUCAUCUUUAGAAGGCCAGUUAAUCACUACACUAUGCAGUUAGUAUCCUGGGCGCAUUGCUACAGACUGAGCACUAGAACACAGUUGAGCAAUAUGAGAGUCAGGAGUGUGUGGAUUCACCUUGCUCACAGCACUGCCUUACCCUGGAGGGAUGUCAUGUCAACAGAGCAAGCGCAGAAUAUGAGUUAAAGUUGUAAAUACAGUGAGUGGCAUUUCAUGUGAUGUGGCAGAUAGAGAAUAUUUUUUGGCAGAUGGUUACACUAAAGCUUCCAAGUAUUUUUUUUCCCCUUUCGUCUUCUCAUAAUAUGUCUGCCUAGCCUUUAUUUCAUUUUAUCUUGUUCCUGAGAAAGUCACCCAGCCUUUUUUUAAACGGGGUACCAGAACAGAAGGUGGAUUUUGAAAGUGGCCGGGUUUUCUAGGUACUUAACUGAGUCCGUUGAACUUCUGAGCUCUUGCUCCACCCAGCUUCUUAACCCUCUGAACAACAAAAGGUUCAGUUUGUGCCCGAAUCCAUGGAAGGCGGAAGGCUGUGAGGUUUUCGGAAACUCCCUGGGGCAGAUGAGAUCGAAACUUAAUACGUGCCUGGCAGUAGAAAAUCCUAAACCCAGUGAAAGUACGGAAGACUUCGGUGAGGGUAAUGCUCAGGGAAAGCUGUCACUGAGUGAUGAAUGUGGGAUGUAGGAUUGCCAGGGAGUGGCUUGAUUUUUAGUUUUGGCUCAAUGCAAAGAGGUUGACUGCAGUCACUAGUCCGAAUGGUAGUAAGCAUUCUCCCUGGGCUGUCUACGGUCUCUUGUUUCUUUAUACUCUGUAAGGUGAAGGGCUUUUUGUUUAGGUUGCAGUAUGUUAGUAGUUAUCUGCCAAUAGUCUCUGGAUCACUAAAGGGCCUCAAAGCUGCAUGGACAUCUUUUCUCCUUCCCAUUUCAGUAGGACUGCAGCAUAAAUACUUCCUGUAUCUGUCCCAUUGAGACAAACGUGAAAUCUGUGCACCUGCAGUCCUGCUCUGGGCGUUGGAAGGUGAGUGGUAACGUUUGUGGCUUGGAGUUCAGUGGGGGGGGGGUCCUUACUGAAGAGGAGAGCUUUGGAUAAGGUUGUUCGGUUGAUGCUGGGACUCUCAACCCGAAGACUUGUCCAGGGUUAGCACUACCCGCGGUUGCCGGGGGAAAGCAUCAUUCCUGAAAUCACCCCGGGGCGGUGACGUUGGAACUCGUGAUUUCGGAGUCUUGAACCCUGUCUGAAGGAAGCGGUUGUCUUUUUCUUCUUCCUGAAUGUUACAGAAUGUGAAAUGGCUACAAACUGUUUGGAUCUAAUAAACUCAGUUUAACGAUG